rnacentral:rRNA from 1 species
CCUUGGUAGUGGGCAAUGAAUAUGGGUGAAAGUAGCAUCCGAGGCUAAAUAUUUCUCAAGACCGAUAGUGGACUAGUACCGUGAGGGAAAGCUGAAAAGUACCCCGGAAGGGGGCUGAAAAGUGCAUGAAACUUAUUGGUUACAGACGUGCAUGGCAUGAAAGGUGAUUUUUUCAUACUGGAGGUUCUAGCAAUAGAACUAAAGGUUUGAAGCUCAAAUCAUCAGUGUCAUGCGUUCCGUCUCGAAACACGGGCCAGGGAGCUUGCUGUCAUGGCAAGUCUAAACCUCUAAAGGUGAAGACGAAGGGAAACCGAGUUCUCGCAACUUUUGUGAGGAGAAGCGUGUGAAAGUGCGUUGAGUCAUGGCGGUAAGGCUAGAAGCCAGUCGAUCUAUUCCUGAGCAAGCUGAAGGCGGGCGAAAGCCCGUUGGAAGGCUGUAGCAGUUCUGACGUGCAAAUCGUUUGUGUGACUUGGGAAUAGGGGACAAGAACCAAUCUAGACUGGCGAUCGCUAGUUCCAACCGAAGCGUCUCGCAGGGCGUCCUCUGUGGAGAUAGCAUUUCCUGUAGAGCACUGAUCUUUUGGUAUGGGGGAGAAAUCCCUCGCCAUCAUUUCAAACUCCGAAUGGAUAUGCAUCGUAGAAGCAGGGAGACGGGUUCGUGUGACGUAAGGUUCACGACCGAAAGGGGUUUAACCCAGACUAAAGUUAAGGUCCCUAAAUUUUUGCUAAGUGUCAAGCCAAAGGGCGUGUUCGCGCCAAGACAGCAGGGAGGUAAGCUCAGAAGCAGCUAUCCUUUAAAAAGUGUGUAACAACUUACCUGCCGAGGGUAAGCGCCCCAAAAACGGACGGGGCUAAAGCAAAAUACCGAUACUUUGGAUACUUGUAUUAUUACAAGUCAUGGUAGGUUGGCGUAGUGAUUGGGUCGAAGCAGGGCAGUGAUGUCCUGUGGACCGAUUUCUAUUGCAGAUCCUGGUGGCAGUAACAGCAUAGUAGAGUGAGAACCUCUACCACCGCAAGCGCAAGGGUUUCCAGGCAAUGCGUUAUCAGCCUGGAGUUAGUCGAUCCUAAGAAUUACCUCAACAGAGUAAUUCGAAUGGGAAACUGGUUAAUAUUCCAGUACCUUGCUUACACGUUAUUAUCUAUAUGAAUUGCUUCUAGAUAGGGGAUGUAGAACCAUCGUUUUAUCUAACUGUUUGAGAUUCGGGGAGUGUCGUAAUGACGAGAACCGAUUCGAGGCAGGAAUGGCUCUGCGUUAGCAGAGUAUUCUCAACUCUAGGGGACCAUGAAAGAUUAUGUAGAAAGUGUGAGCAAUGCUCGUACCGAGAACCGACACAGGUGCGCUGGCUUAGAAAGCUAAGGUGCUACGGGUAUACCGUAUGGCGAGGGAAUUCGGCAAAUUAGUCCUGUAGCUUAGGUAUAAGGGAUGCCUGCGGUCUUCAUGAGGAAUGGGGAUCGCAGGUUGCAAUGACAAGGGGGUUUCGACUGUUUAAUAAAAACACAGGUGACUGCUAGUCCGAAAGGAUUUGUAUAGUCGCUGAAUCCUGGCCGGUGCAGGUACCUAAAACUUGGGUUCAACCGAGCUAAGGGCCUGUUAACGCCGGGAGUAACUCUGACUCUCUUAAGGUAGCCAAAUGCCUUGUCGGGUAAGUUCCGACGCGCAUGAAUGGAACAACGAGAGCCCCACUGUCCCCGCCUACAACCCGGUGAAGCCACAUAAGGUGGACGAACAGUCCAUCAUCCUCCAUCGGGGAGAGAAGACCCCGUGGAGUUUUACUGCAGCUUGUACUUGCAGUAUAGUACGUAUUACAUAGUGUAUCUGGUAGCCAUGCCUGAAUUUCUUUGGGAAUUCAGUGAAGCGCCAAUGUAACACCAGAUUAUUCUUGCAGUACUUCUUAUCUGAUGCAAAUCAGAAACAGGUGCAGGUAGGCAGUUCGGCUGGGGCGGCACCCCUUUGAAAAGAUAUCAAAGGGGCCCAAAGUUUAGUUCAAACGGGUCAGAAAUCCGUUGAAGAGGGCAAAGCCAAAAACUAGACUGACAGGAUUUCCAAACGCACGGAAUUCUGAGACGAAAGUCUGGCUUAGCGAUCCUUCGUGUGCACACUAUUGGGGCCCGGAGGUGACAGAAAAAUUACCCCAGGGAUAACAGGCGCGUCGCGGGCGAGAGCUCCUAUCGACCCCGCGGUUUGGUACCUCGAUGUCGGCUUUUCCUAUCCUGGUCCUGCAGCAGGGGCCAAGGGUGAGGCUGCUCGCCUAUUAAAAGGGAACA